rnacentral:rRNA from 1 species
UACAGAGGGGGCAAGCGUUGUUCGGAAUUAAUGGGAGUAAAGGGGGCGUAGGCGGCAUUAUAAGUAGAACGUGAAAUCCCCGGGCUCAACCCGGGAACUGCGUCCGAUACUGGAAGGCUUGAAUCCGGGAGAGGGAUGCGGAAUUCCAGGUGUAGCGGUGAAAUGCGUAGAUAUCUGGAGGAACACCGGUGGCGAAGGCGGCAUCCUGGACCGGCAUUGACGCUGAGGCGCGAAAGCCAGGGGAGCAAACGGG